GAUUGCAUAUUUGGAGAGGAGCACUAUGACGACAACCUCCGGAACCUAGGCAUCGAAGAUAGCGGACACGCGAGAUAGGAGUUAUCCAGGUCAGUCUAUGAAUCGCUUCCGCCAUCAGCCACUAGAAACCUUUGUUGUACUCCAUAGACCAUCAUGGUCUUGUACUCCAAAUUUUGUAAAUGCUUGGAUAUUUUGUAUCAAGGAUGUGUCCAUCAGCUAACCUUGGAUAUUUUGUAUCAAGGAUGUGUCCAUCAGCUAACCUUGGUAUCAGUAAUCUCGGGGAUGGUGAGCACAAAGGUCAUUUUUUGGGAAAUUUAUAUCUCGGAAAUCCGGCCCUGAUAACCUUAGUAUCAGAGCCAGUCUAACCAUUGGCUAAUCCUAUCUUAGCCGGGUCAAUAAACCCUAGGUUACCACCCAUCCAAGCCUUAUCCUACCCAUAGCCAAGCCUAUCCUAACUGAUAGCAUGUAUAGUGAUAAUCAUCACCUUUCAGCAGCCGAUGCCCAACCGAUGAGACUAGCCGAGCGGUCACAUGCCUGUGACCAACACCUGAGUUGUCCCAUCCGCAAGUGUGCAAGAGAAGAUUAUGUUUUCUUUCUAUAAAGGAAACGUUUUCUCCAACCCACUACACCACAACCACCUUCCAAAUCCCAAACCGCCAAGAUGUCGGUCCCCGUUGUAUACAAUGAGACCACCGCAUCUGAGCUUGGAGAUUUUGUAGAUGUUCUUGCCAACCUCAGCUGUCGUGGCUUUACCAUAGAAGAGCCCCUGGAAUAUGUUGUGUACCAGCAGCACACGAGUAAUGGCAUCCAUCACUUCCGGGCAAUGGUGCACAUCUACGACAGGGGUAUCUCGCCAGAAUGCCCUUACCAGUUCACCAGAAGGACAACUUCCUAUGAGCCACAAGCCAUCCAGCUAGCAGCUCAACAGGCUAUAGUUCAAAACCGGCACGUGUCAUCGAGGGUUAACUGCCGCUCGUUUUACUACUACCCCUAGCCAUGAAAGUAAUACUAGGCCGCUCCAAAUCGCCAACGGAGACCAUGAGACGGACCCCACCCCGUUGCAUCUUGUGCGCUACAUGAGAGCACAAGAGGCACUGUUCAAGUAGGUCACCGUCGACCUGAUUGCAACUCACGGAAAGCUAGCUCGCCUCACCCCGAGAAGAAGAGAAGCUGCACCCGAUGCCACCAAACCAAUGAUGUUGUUCGGGAGAUCGAUCGAGCCCUCGAGGUCUAUGCCUGCUGCCGACCCAAAUCAUGCGUCCGUCUCCGUGGAAGAGCUCCGUCACAUUUUGGGGAUUUUCUCCAACGGGACGGUAACCACCGCACCCCGUGAUGGACAUCAUCGCUACCCCAGCCAUGUAACUCCACAUUCUACCCGAGUCGACCGCGACAUCGAAGUCCCAGAAGCCUCGACGUCCGCAAGUCCCGCCCGACUAGAUGUCAAGGAAGUAGACUAAGCCACUAGAGUAGUAACCCAAAUUUAGUAUUCCUACGCCCUGCAAUAUUGUGAGCUUGUAUUUUCAUGAGUAAAUUGCAGGACAUUUGUGUACCAUUAUUUUUAAAUAGGACCACCUGUACCUGUGUAAGUAUCUUUUGACUUCUAUCUAUAAAGAAAAAAUUGGGUGAAACAACCAGGAACCAACCUGGUCGACAACCAUAGUAAUAUGUCACAUUUAGUGAAUUAUAUGUGUGGCUUUGACCCGACCACGUUAGAGCAUAACGACAACCGAGAUCGACCACCCUGAAAUGUGUGCGCUAGCCAAACCCUAUAUAAGGAGUCACCCAAUAACCAUCCCCAGCGCCCUCACCUUGUGCAUUGCCUUCACAACCAUUUUUCCCCAUGUCGCGCCUUGGGAUUCAUUUGAGAACCCCGGGGAGUUUUGCUAAGAUAUUGUGGGAUUUUACCCACAGUGCCAUGGGUUGUCCCCACCGACCCUAGUACGAACUGUUCAAAUUAAGGAUCACUUCCACCACCACAAAAAAUUGGGCCGUUGCGCAGAUCCCACCAGUAGAUCCAAACCAAGACCCUACGAAAGUUUCCUUCAUCGGGAAAUGUAUGCCCACUCCAGAAAUGGUCAUAGAGGUUGCUGCCUGCGAAGCAAUUACCCGCCUUCAAUUUGCAGUACCCUAUGCCAGUGAAUUGGGGUAUUAUUACUUUUCGAGCCCUGUAGCACCCAGAGAAGCAGCGUCUUUUCCCAGCACCCGAGCAAAGAGAGAUUCGGUGUUAUCAAGCUUGUGCAGUAUGUCAUCGCUCAAGAGCGUUUGACCCAGCAAGUGAUGGAUUUCCUUCAUACCAUUGUUGUUAUGAAUCCUCAUAUCGCCAUUGGCAGGCCUCUAAGGCCAAACCAAGAAGGACACGUUGUGCGAGUCCUCCAUCCGCUCUCCCCGAAGGACGAAGGAUAUACCCCACUCCCGGGAAUAUUUCCUCAUGACCUAUAUUUUUUUCCUGUACCGUAGACGCCAUGGUUGUAAUCAUUAGCAUAGCUUUUGAUUGUAUGAUGUGAUAUCUGUGUUGUGUUUUAUAAUUUACUAUAUGGGUAUCUUAUGUCAAUUGCAGUUGUUUUGUUGCUAUGAUUUGAAAAUCGAUUGUUUCUUAUUGUAGCAAAUCUCAGGGUGAGAUUUUAUUAAAAGACCAGUGCGACAAAAACUUUUCCAGCAUAAAUUUAAAUUGCAUGCCCUCACGUGGUCCGGCUCACAUCCACACUAGAGUUGCACCAAUUAUUAACUUUUUCACUGUAACCACGUCACAUAGUGUGAGUAGAAUAUUUAUUCUCAUGUUAUUACUGGAUUGCAGUGGGAGUAAAGCUUUUGCUACCACCUUAGAAAAUCUCAAGGACAAGAUUUUUCUUAAGGGGGUAGAGUUUGUAACACCCCAAAAAAUUUAUCAUGUUUUUAUUAAUUAAAAUUUUGUUAGGGAUAUUAAUUUUUAUUUUCUAGAUCCUCUAUUGGUUUUAGAACCAUCCUUUUUCUUUGAAAUUAUAAAAUUUUCCCCUCCAAAUAGAAACCUUUGAAAAAUAUUGUGCGGCUUGAAUGUUUGAAUUAAAAGUAUUUCAUUUCAUUUUUAAAAAUUCAGGGAGAAAUAUUUUUAUAAUGAAGCUUGCCAAAUUUAAUUAUUUUAAUGGCCUUUUUGAAUUCUUUAAAGGGCCUCCAUUGCACUACAACCAUUUUAAUUAUUCAUUUAAAGACCCCAUAAAAAUUUGGAGAUGUCUUGUGAUGCCUAUAGAUCACUCUUAUGCAAAAACCCAUCUUGGCCUUUUGAAAAUUUUGAGCAAACCAUGCUCAUCUGAAUUAUGUUCCAGUUUAGUGGUUUGAACUGCAACCCUAUUUUAUUUUCCCAUAAUCAUCAUGAGAUAUUUCCUUCUUACAUUCCACCCUACCAACCCCUUAAGUACAUGAGUUUAGCUCCAUUGGACUAUUUUAAGCCCAUGUAAUUAACCUAUGGAGUUCCUGUCUAGAAAUGAAGUUUUGUAAAACUUGCACUAACUAGUUUCUGUUUUUCUCAAACUAACCAUGCCAUCCUCAUUAGCACCUAAAGAGGCUCCAUCAUUCUGUCGAGCACCCUGGGUGCAUGGCGGGAUUUGGCAUGCUCCUAACCUUGCCUUAGAAACUUGUUUCCCUGGCCUAACUAACAUGUCCCCUAGCCUUCCCUUGCCCAUAAACCUAGAACAGUCAAGCCUCAAUUGCAUCUGAGCCCCCUGGCGUAUCCUGGCUUUUUGUUGAACACCGGAUGCACAUGCUCGAAACACGAGAAGAGCACGCGCAUUGUGUUGGGGAACAUUGCACGGGAAACAAAAAAAUUCCUACGCUCACCAAGAUCAAUCUAGGAGAUGCACAUCUACGAGGGGAGAGAUUGUAUCUACAUAUCCUUGUAGAUCGCUAAGAGAAACCUUUAAAGAACGCGGUUGAUGUAGUUGAACGUCUUCGCGAUCCAAAUCGCAAUUCGUCCCGUGAUCCCAUCACGAUCCAUCCUGAUCUAGUGCCGAACGGACGACAUCUCCGCGUUCAGCACACGUACAACUCGAUGGCGUUCUCCGCCUCCUUGAUCCAACAAGCGAGGAAGGAGAGGUUGAUGAGUUCUCUAGCAGCGCGACGGCGUGACAGUGGUGGUGGUGUUGUUGUCCCGGCAGGGCUACACCUAGAUCUAUCGAAGCUGCGAAAACGAUCUAGGGAGAGAGAGGGGCGCCAAGGGCUUCGUGUGUCCUCUCGGGGUGCCCCUCCCCUCUAUAUAUAUAGGUGGAGGGGCGUGGGUGUGACAGCCCGAGACCGACGCCCCAGAAGAUUUCCCUUUUUAUUCCGUUGCCGUCCUGUGAUUAGGUUGUCUGUUGCAUUCAUCUUCGCAUCAUGCACAUCAUCUGCAUUGCAUCGGCACUCCGUUGCCGCCAGUUUUCAAAACUUGCAUCCGUUAUUAGUUGCGGUUCUCUUCGUUCUCGUCGUUGACCGUGUUGAGCCCGACCACACACGCACGUACCCGCGGCAUCGUUAAAAUAUUUGGUUUUAAAAGUGUGUAUAAAAUAUUUCCGGAUUGAGUCGAAACUUGGCGUGCGGUCUUAUUUUAAUAUAGGUAGGCCGCCUGCCAAUUUUCGUCGUAAUCGGAGUUCGUCUGGUACCCGAACGGUCGACCAUAGCGGCACCGUCUUCGGUUAUCGUCGGACGUUUUUCGGUUUUAAAAUAUUGUUGCCGGGUCGCACCAUUCCCAUCUCGUAUCAGCCUACACCCCUCUACACGGCCUAACCUAACCCUAGGACGUUUCCGGAGCGUCCGAUCGAGAUUGGAGAGUCCGAAAACGCCCUGAUUAGCUAACCCUAGCCCAUGUGUCUAUAAAAGACACCAAACUCUUCUUCCACCUCGGUUCCCAUGCCACCCUAACCCUAGCCGUCGCAGCCUCCUCCCACCUUCUCUCUCCUCCCAGCCGCCAGGGCCCGCCAGGCCCGCAGCAGGCCCUCCGGGGCCCGAACCACCGCUGCUAGCCCGCGCACCCAAGCGCCUUCACCCCGAGCGCUGCUCCCGCUCGGCCAUCACCGAGGCAACGCCAGCGCGUUCAGCUCCCGUCACCUCCCCACGCAGGUGCAUCACCGGACCGCCGUGCCGCCCUUGCAGCUCGUCGGAGCUCCACGAGGCCGCCUCGCCUCGCUCCUCUCCCUUCUUCUUCCUUCCUCUUCUUCUCCCUCACGACCUCUCUCUCUUCCGUGAGCCCCGACCAAAGUCCCUACGCCGCGUGGUGCCCUGCCGCCGGUGAUCCAGCCGCUGUCGGAGCCCGUCCGCCGUCGGUUCCUACUGCCGAGUUCCCCCGCACUGCCCCGCGCCAGCGCCACAGCGCCCCGCCUCCUCGAUCCAAUCGGAUAGGGACGGGUAGGAGCGCCUGGCCGUUGACCGCGCCAUGCCAGACUGCGUCCCCGUGGGCCGCCUCCCUGCCUCGCGCGCUCGACCGCGCCAGUCGCCCCCUGGGCCGGCCAGCUUGCCCCUCCGCUGGCCCAGCCGGCCUCCCCUGGUCUUGGCCCAGUCGAACCAAGCCGGCCUGCUCACCUCCUCUCCAGGCCGGCCCAGGAGCCACGGUGAGCUGAUUCCCCCCCAGCCGUCUAUUUAGCGCCCGUGCGCCGUUUAGCUAUCCCGCGCCCAUGUCCUGUUUUGGGCCUGUAGCCAGAUUCUGCCCAGUAGUAUUAUUUUAGGUUUUUUCGGAUUUAUUAUUUUCAGGAAAAGAAGUAUUUUAAAAUGGUCGCAACUUUUAAACGUGCAUCGGGUCGGAAAGAAUUAUAUAUGUAACUUGUGUAGAAUUUCACGUAGAACAUUAUUUUGCAACUUGCAUGCAUGUUUGGAGUGGUUUGACCGUCGUUUUCCUAGAAUAUAUGUGAUGUCCUAUUAGGGUUAUAUUUCCGUAGCUAUUUUUGUGCGCGUCCGGAUUGCUCAAAUUACAUCGAUAAAAUGUUCAUGUUGUUCGGGACCCUUUGCCAUGUAUUUUAGAGUAGUUGCUUGCAUUUUUUGCAUGUAGGAGCUAUCAAUAGUUUGCUAUAUCGUGUUUAGGACAUAUUCUCGCAUAUAUGUGUGACGUUAGUUUUAUUUUGCAACCCCACAUAUUAUAUAUGUUUUCAGGGUAAAAAUCCGUAUAAUUUAACUGUGCAAUUAGUUUUUCCUUUCGAGUAAGUUAGUGCGCGUGAUAUUUCUGCCAUGUUGCCCUCUUGUCUAUUUUGUGGAAUUUAUUCCGUGCAUGAUUGAUACGUCUCCAACUUAUCUACAAUUUUUGAUGGUUCCAUGCUAUUAUCUUAUCAAACUUUGGAUGUUUUGUAUGCCUUUUAUAUUUUUUUGGACUAACUUAUUAACUCAGUGCCAAGUGCCAGUUCAUGUUUUUUUCGUGUUUUUGAUCCCUUUCAGAGGAGGAUUUCAAACAGUGUCCAAACGGAAUAAAACUUCUAAAAAGAUUUUUUCGAAACAGAAGAUACGCACGGGACGUGAGAACCAAGGCAGAGGCCACCAAGGGACGCCACAAGCCCCCUAGGCGCGGCCAGGGGGCCCGCGCCUAGCAGGCUUGUGGGUCCCGUGUGGCUCGUUUGCCCUACCUCUUCCGCCUAUAAAUUCCUGAAAAAUCCAAAACUGCGCGAGAGAUCCACGAAAAUACUUUUCCGCCGCCGCAAGCUUCUGUCUCCGCAAGAUCCCAUCUAAGGCACGUUCUGGUGCCUUGCCGGAGGGGGGAUUCGGAUACAGAGGGCUUCUUCAUCAACACCAUGACCUCUCCGAUGAUGCGUGAUUAGUUCACCACAGACCUUCAGGUCCAUAGCUAGUAGCUAGAUGACUUCUUCUCUCUCUUGUAUCUUCAAUACAAAGUUCUCCAUGAUCUUCAUGGAGAUCUAUCCGAUGUAAUCUUCUUUUGUGGUGUGUUUGUCGAGAUCCGAUGAAUUGUGGAUUUAUGAUCAGAUUAUCUAUGAAUCUUAUUUGAGUUUCUUCUGAUCUCUUAUAUGCAUGAUUUCAUAUCCUUGUAAUUCUCUUCGAGUUGUGGGUUUUGUUUGGCCAACUUGAUCUAUGAUUCUUGCAAUGGGAGAAGUGCUUGGUUUUGGGUUCAUACCGUGUGGUGAUCUCACCCAGUGACAGAAGGGGUAGCGAGGCACGCAUGUGUUGUUGCCAUCAAGGGUAAAAAGAUGGCGUUUACAUCAUUGGUUUGAGUUUAUCCCUCUACAUCAUGUCAUCUUGCUUAAGGAGUUACUCUGUUCGUCAUGAACUCAACACACUAGAUGCAUGCUGGAUAGCGGUCGAUGUGUGGAGUAAUAGUAGUAGAUGCAUAAAGUAUAGGUCUACUUGUCUUGGACGUGAUGCCUACAUGUAUGAUCAUUGCCUUAGAUAUCGUCAUGAUUUUGCGCGGUUCUAUCAAUUGCUCGACAGUAAUUUUUUCACCCACCGUAAUAUUUUCUAUUUUGAGAGAAGCCUCUAGUGAACACUAUGGCCCCCGGGUCUAUUUCACACCAUAUUUUCAGCCUUUCACUUUUACUUCGUUGCACUUUCCGCCUUUAGAUCUCACUUUGCAAUCAAUCUUGAAGGGAUUGACAACCCCUUUAUAAAGUUGGGUGCAAGCUCGUUUGUGUUUGCGCAGGUACUCCGGACACUUGGCUUGAUUAUCCUACUGGAUUGAUACCUUGGUUCUCAAACUGAGCGAAAUACUUACUGCUCCUGUGCUGCAUCACCCUUUCCUCUUCAAGGGAAAAACCAACGCAAGCUCAAGAGGCAGCAGAAGGAUUUCUGGCGCCGUUGCCGGGGAUUUCUGGUGCCGUAGCAGAAGGAUUUCUGGCGCCGUUGUCUGGGAGGAUCAAGUUCUAGGUGAAGCUCAUCCAAGUAAGUGUCACAAACUCAUCUCUUGCAUUUACUUUUUUGCCUCUCGUUUUCCUCUCCCCCACUUCUGAAAAACAAAAAUUUACAAAAAUAUUUGCCUUUUUCAUUUGCCUUUCCUUUGCUCGUGUGCUAUGUGCCUUCAAUAUGCUUGCAUCUUCGCUUGCUGAAAAUCUAUUGAUAUGGAUCCUCAUUCACUUGCUAAUCUCUUUAAGAGAUCCAACUAUGUUGAACCAAUUGCUAGUGAGUUGAGUGCACUUGGCUUUCUCUAUGGAGUUUUGCUUGUGAUGCGUGAAUCUGAAAAUCGUGAUGAAGAAAUUUAUGAAGUGAUUCACGAAGGCUCCUUGAAUGAAAAGCAUCAUUGCAAUGGUUUUACUAUAAAUCCUAUUAGUGUCAAUCAUGCUAAAAAUAUGCAAAACCCUAAGCUUGGGGAUGCUAGUUUUGCUAUGUCCACUACUUGUUGCAAUGAUCAUGAUUGGGGUAAUGAUUUUUCUUAUGAUCUUGAAAAUUUGUUUAAGCCUCAUGAUGAUUAUGAUAUUUGCAAUAAUAUUGAAAGUGGGUUUGGAGAAGUCAUGACUUUAGUUGAUGAUAAUCCCACUAUUUUUGAAGAGCAUCAACUUUGCAUGCAUGUGGAUCAUAAAAAGAAUAUACUAUGUGAUAGCUAUAUUGUUGAAUUUGAACAUGAUCCCACAUGUAAUUGUUAUGAGAGAGGAAAAUAUUGUGGUAGAAACUUUCAUAUCACUAAAUCACCUCUCGUUAUGUCGAGAUUGCUAUUGUUUCUUUCUUCUUCCUUGCAUAUGGUAGUUAUUGUUUGUCUUGAUAAUUUGUUUCCCUAUAAAAUGCCUAUGCAUAGGAAGUAUGUUAGAAUUAGAUGUGAUUUUCACAUGCUUUAUGAUGCUCUCGUUGUGCUUCAAUUCUUGUCUUUUGUGUGAGCAUCAUUGAAUUAUCAAUGCCUAGCUAAGGGCGUUAAACAAUAGCGCUUGUUGGGAGUUAACCCAAUGAAUUUAUCUUUGCUUUUUGCUUUCUGUUUUGUUGUGUCCACACCAUCAUAAUUCUGUUAUGAUUAUGUCUUUUGUGUUGCUUUUUGUGUUUGAGCCAAGCAAAACCUUUACGACUAGUUUGGUGAUGGUUGUUUGAUCCUGCUGGAAAAAGACAGAAACUUUUCGCUCACGAAAUUAUUUUUAAUUUUUAUCCAGAAAGAGCUUUUGAGUUGAUUUUUUUGCUGCUGGUUGAUAUGCCUUUUUCCCAGGCGGUCGUAAUUUUUCAGAAUUUUUGAGAUACCAUAAGUAUACGAAGUAUACAGAUUGAUACAGACUGGUCUGUUUUUUACAGAUUCUGUUUUUUGUUGUGUUGGUUGCUUGUUUUGAUGAAACUAUGGAUAGUAUCGGGGGGUACUAGCCAUGGAAAAGUGAGAAUACAGUAAUAUAACACCAAUAUAAAUAGAAAUCAAGUUUUCUACAGUACCUAAAGAGGUGGUAGUUUGUUUUCUUGUGCUAAUGAUAUCACGAAUUUCUGUUUAAGUUUUGUGUUGUGAAGUUUUCAAGUUUUGGGUGAUGUUCUCAUGGACAAAGGGAUAAAGAGUGGAAAGAUCUCAAGCUUGGGGAUGCCCAAGGCAUCCCAAGCCAAAUUCAAGGACACCAAAAAGCCUAAGCUUGGGGAUGCCCCGGGAAGGCAUCCCCUCUUUCGUCUUCAAUCCAUCGGUAACACUACUUGGAGCUAUAUUUUUAUUCACCUCAUGAUAUGUGUUUUGCUUGGAGCGUCUUGUAUCGUAGGAGUAUUUUCUUUUUGUUGUGUCACAAUCAUCCUUGCUGCACACCUUUUGAGAGAGACAUGCAGUCGUCGUGAAUUUGCUACAAUACUCUUUGUGCUUCACUUAUAUCUUUUGAGCUAGACAAUUUUGCUCUAUGUGCUUCACUUAGAUCUUUUAGAGCACGGCGGUGCGUAACUUGGUAGUUGGCUGUGCUAUGAAAGUAGUCCCAAAGGUGAUAGGUACCCAAAGAGGAUACAACAAAACUUCCAUCUUCAUGUGCAUUGAGUAGAAACAGAAGUUUGAUUCCUCUCAAUUAGUUUUGAGAUGUGGAUUUGGUAAUAUUAAGAUUUAUGUUAGUAGGGUGUUGUGAAUAUAGAAAUACUUGUGUUGAAGUUAGUGAUUCCCGUAACAUGCACGUAUGGUGAACCGCUAUGUUAGGAAGUCAGAGCAUAAUUGAUCUAUUGAUUGUCAUCCUUUGUGUUGCGGCUGGGGUCGCGCGAUGGUUUACACCUACCAACCCUUCCCCUAGGAGUAUGCGUUUAGCACUUUGUUUCGAUUACUAAUAAAAACUUUCGCAAUAAGUAUGUGAGUUCUUCAUGACUAAUGUGAGUCCAUGGUAUAGAUGCACUUUCACCUUCCACCAUUGCUAGCCUCUCUAGUACCGCGCAAUUUUUGCCGGUGCACAAACCCACCAUAUGCCUUCCUCAAAACAGCCACCAUACCUACCUACUAUGGCAUUUUUAUAGCCAUUCCGAGAUAUAUUGCCAUGCAACUCCCAUCGUUCCGUCUCAUGACUUGUGCCGUCACUCUCAUAUUGCCAUUGCAUGAUCGUAAGAUAGCUAGCGAGAUGUUUCAACGUCAUACGCCAAGCUAGAUCGUUGCACAUCCCGGUACACCACCGGAGGCAUUUCCUAUAGAGUCAUCAUCGUUCUAAGCUUUGAGCUGUGAGUCAAUAAAAGUGUGAUGACCAUCAUUAUUAGAGCAUUGUCUCAUGUGAGGAAAUAAAAAAAGGAGGCCAAAGUUGCCCACAGAAAAAAAGAUAUGGAAAGAGGCCAAAGAGCCCCAAAAAAAGAGAGAAAAAGAGAGAAGGGACAAUGCUACUAUCUCUUUCCACACUUGUGCUUCAUAAUAGGACCAUGUUCUUCAUGAUUGAGAGUCUCUUGUUUUGUCACCACCAUAUGCUAGUGGGAAUUUUCAUUAUAUAACUUGGCUUGUAUAUUCCAAUGAUGGGCUUCCUCAAAAUUGCCCUAGGUCUUCAUGAGCAAGCAAGUUGGAUGCACACCCACUAAUUCUCUUUUUGAGCUUUCACAUACUUAUAGCUAUAGUGCAUCCAUUGUAUGGCAAUCCCUACUCAUUCACAUUGAUAUCUAUUAAUGGGCAUCUCCAUAGCCCUUUGAUACGCCGAGUCAAUGUGACCAUCUCCUUCUUUUUGUCUCACAACCUCCACCACACUCUAUUCCACCAUAGUGCUAUAUCCAUGGCUCGCGCUCAUGUAUUGCGUGAGAGUUGAAAAAGGUUUGAGAAAGUAAGAGUGCGAAAACAAUUACUUGGCCAAUACCGGGGUUGUGCAUGAUUUAAAUUAGUUGUGUGGGGAUGAUGGAGCAUAGCCAGACUAUAUGAUUUUGUAGGGAUAACUUUCUUUGGCCUUGUUAUUUCGAAAGUUCAUGAUUACCUUGCUAGUUUGCUUGAGGUAUUAUUGAUUUCAUGUCAAUAGCAAACUAUUGUUUUGAAUCUUAUGGAUCUGAACAUUCAUGUCACAUGAAAGAUGUUACAAAGGACAACUAUGCUAGGUAGCAUUCCACAUCAAAAAUUCAGUCUUUAUCACUUCCCUACUCGAGGACGAGCAAGAGUUAAGCUUGGGGAUGCUUGAUACGUCUCCAAUGUAUCUAUAAUUUUUGAUGGUUCCAUGCUAUUAUCUUGUCAAACUUUGGAUGUUUUGUAUGCCUUUUAUAUCUUUUUGGGACUAACUUAUUAACUCAGUGCCAAGUGCGAGUUCAUGUUUUUUCCGUAUUUUGACCCCUUUCACAGGAGGAUUUUAAAUGGUGUCCAAACGGAAUUAAACGUCCGAAAAGAUUUUUUCCGAAACAGAAGAUACGCACGGGACGUGAAAACCAAGGCAGAGGCCACCAUUGGACGCCACAAGCCCCCUAGGCGCGGCCAGGGGGGCCGCGCCUAGCAGGCUUGUGGGCCCUGUGUGGCUCGUCUGCCCUACCUCUUCCUCCUAUAAAUUCGUGAAAAAUCCAAAACUGUGCGAGAGAUCCACGAAAAUACUUUUCUGCCACUGCAAGCUUCUGUCUCCGCAAGAUCCCAGCUGGGGCACGUUCUGGUGCCCUGCCGGAGGGGGGGUUCGGAUACGGAGGGCUUCUUCAUUAACACCAUGACCUCUCCGAUGAUGCUUGAGUAGUUCACCAUAGAUCUUCGGGUCCAUAUCUAGUAGCUAGAUGGCUUCUUCUCUCUCUUGGAUCUUCAAUACAAAGUUCUUCAUGAUCUUCAUGCAGAUCUAUCCGAUGUAAUCUUCUUUUGCGGUGUGUUUGUUGAGAUCCGAUGAAUUGUGGAUUUACGAUCAGAUUAUCUAUGAAUCUUAUUUGAGUUUCUUCUGAUCUCUUAUAUGCAUGAUUUCAUAUCCUU
rnacentral:lncRNA from 1 species